rnacentral:misc_RNA from 1 species
UGAGUGUGUCAUAAUAGGG